GGCUCUGUGAUUACGAUGCCUAAUUAAUUACAGUAGUUAGGCACUAUACGCUAUUCUGAUCUUAAAACAUGAGUAGAUAUAUUUUGUGUAUGAGAGCU